rnacentral:rRNA from 1 species
GUUUGUCGCGUUGUUCGUGAAAUCUCACGGCUUAACUGUGAGCGUGCGGGCGAUACGGGCAGACUUGAGUACUGCAGGGGAGACUGGAAUUCCUGGUGUAGCGGUGGAAUGCGCAGAUAUCAGGAGGAACACCGGUGGCGAAGGCGGGUCUCUGGGCAGUAACUGACGCUGAGGAGCGAAAGCGUGGGGAGCGAACAGGAUUAGAUACCCUGGUAGUCCACGCCGUAAACGGUGGGUACUAGGUGUGGGUUUCCUUCCUUGGGAUCCGUGCCGUAGCUAACGCAUUAAGUACCCCGCCUGGGGAGUACGGCCGCAAGGCUAAAACUCAAAGAAAUUGACGGGGGCCCGCACAAGCGGCGGAGCAUGUGGAUUAAUUCGAUGCAACGCGAAGAACCUUACCUGGGUUUGACAUGCACAGGACGCCGGCAGAGAUGUCGGUUCCCUUGUGGCCUGUGUGCAGGUGGUGCAUGGCUGUCGUCAGCUCGUGUCGUGAGAUGUUGGGUUAAGUCCCGCAACGAGCGCAACCCUUGUCUCAUGUUGCCAGCGGGUAAUGCCGGGGACUCGUGAGAGACUGCCGGGGUCAACUCGGAGGAAGGUGGGGAUGACGUCAAGUCAUCAUGCCCCUUAUGUCCAGGGCUUCACACAUGCUACAAUGGCCGGUACAAAGGGCUGCGAUGCCGCGAGGUUAAGCGAAUCCUUUUAAAGCCGGUCUCAGUUCGGAUCGGGGUCUGCAACUCGACCCCGUGAAGU